GCAUCUCACCUCCUGUUGUUAAUUACCUGGCAUAGUUCACAGAGCUGAUCAACUUUGCAUGGUGUGUCCCACAGAGGAAGAGAGGAUGGUGGCAUUAGACACAUGCAGCCAGAACUCUGGGCCAGGGCUCUAGGAAUCUAGACAGCCACAGGGACCAGAGAGCCUGCCUUCAAUCUGGAUUCAAGCAGAGACCUGGAGAAAAAAGACGUGGAGUCUUAGCAGCACGAAUUUCCUGAUCCAGCCCGUAAAGCUCAGGUUCCUACAGUUCUUCCUCCAGUUUUCUGAGGCACCCCGCGUCUCUCCCAGCUGGAUGCUUGGCUAGCCCAGGGGCACGGCGCUGGUGCCACCUCUGGGCAGGGCCCGGGGAGGUCAGAGCUUCCUUGUUUAGGGGCCAGGUGCUUCCUGGGUAAAGAAACUUCUGUUGGAGGUAAGCACAGUUCUUUGCAAUUCUGUAGAUCAUAGAACUAUAUAAUUCUAUAAACCGAGACUGA
rnacentral:lncRNA from 1 species